ACACGGGCUCUCCUCUCUCUCCCUCGCCUCCCGAUCCCAACCGCCAGGAGGGGCCCCACCCCGCGCGACCUCGAUCCGGUGCCGCGCCGAUCUGGCGGCGGGUGCUGCGUCUUGCUCCGGUGGCGACGGGAGAAAGAGAGAUAGGGCGUGAGGGAGAUAAGAAAGAGAGGAAGAAAGGAGAAGGAGAAGGGGCACAUGGUGAGGGAGGCGGUCGCCGGCGGUGGUGGUUCCGGUGACCGGCCGGCGGGCAGGGAGACGAGCUCCUGUUGAGGCGACGGAGCUCGGUGCGGGAUGGUUCCUCCGGAUCGAGCCUUGGCUCUCCCGAGGCGUGCGGUUGCGGGCUUGGAUCGGGUUGAUCCUUCUCCCCUGCCCUCCCCCUCCAUGGCCAACAACACAAGAGAAGAGAUGGCUAUUGAUGAGGCCGAGCUUGAGCCUCUAGAAUUUGCUGAGAAAAUGCACACUCAACAGGAAAUUACAACAACAGUUGCGCAGGCAGUUGGAGAGUGCUGAUUUCGAUACAAGUGUGUCAAUCUUCACUCCGGAGCAGAUCCAAGGGAUUGUUGAGAAAUACUCCAGUUGACAUAUUUGAAGAGAUGAGAGAUUUACAUCGCAUCCGUCUUCUCCCUCUACUAUAGCCGAUGGUUGUAUUCCACCCAUACACACGAAGCAUAUAAUUGCCAUCUAGCGUUACUUCAUGUAAUCUGCAGUUUUCUCAGUGAAAGACUAUAAGUGUACUAAUUACAUUGGCAGUGGCACCUGUUGGAACCGUCCACCUGGCUCUGUCGAUUACCACCCAAGCUGUUGGCCUCCUUGUGGUGGUGGUCUUCACCCUCUUUCAUCACCAUGAAGCAGAUCAUCGUUGUGACGUUGUCCAGCACUGGCGAGAAGGGUGGCCCGCGUCGAGACGGCCAAGGUUGGGUAGUCUCCAGGUCAGGCUCGCUGGAAUGGUGACUGGCAAGAUGGAGAGGAAUACAGACGUGUCCUUCACCCUCGACAAUGACUAGCUGCAUCAAUUUUUCAUUAGAUGGUAUAAUGGACUAGACUGGUUACUGUUCUUUUAGCCAGCGUCAACAAAGAGAAGAGAGGCGUGUGAUGCUUACACUGUGGAGAGCCUGCCAUCUAUGAAAUGACAUCAUCCAUGGGCGAUGCUAAAAGUUCUAUUCAAAGCUGGGUUGAGUUCUUGGUUAAUUAUGUGAAGAUGAUUAAUGGAGACUACAAAAGGAUGAUCUCAAGAAAUCGUUGCAGGCAUAUUUCUGCAAUCUGUAAUUCCUUCGCUAAACAUAGCAAUUGGGUAGCUCAUGAUCUUGCUUCCCUUGCUAGAGUGUCAGAUACUUCUGAAACCUGGGUGGGCAGUAUGGUGUGUAUGCAAAUGACUUUGUUAAGUAAUCCAGUAUUUAUAUAUAAGCAUAGGUUCUGUCGAAAAAAGUAUUGGCAGGAACUUACAACCAUUAACGCACAUUAUCUGUUGGUUAAGUACUCAAAGGAGUAUGUCGAGAUUUAGAAGUUGUUUUA